rnacentral:rRNA from 1 species
CGCCUUAUACAUGCAAGUCGAACGAAGUAGCAAUACUUAGUGGCAGACGGGUGAGUAACAUGUGGGUAUCUUCCCUUUGGUGAGGAAUAACACGAGGAAACUUGUGCUAAUACCUCAUAAGUCUUUACGGAGAAAGCUUUAUGCGCCAAUGGAUGAGCCCGCACUAGAUUAGUUUGUUGGUGGGGUAAUGGCUUACCAAGACAGUGAUCUAUAGCUGAUCUGAGAGGAUGAUCAGCCACAUUGGAACUGAGACACGGUCCAAACUCCUACGGGAGGCAGCAGUAGGGAAUAUUGCACAAUGGAGGAAACUCUGAUGCAGCGAUGCCGCGUGAGUGAAGAAGGCCUUUGGGUUGUAAAGCUCUUUCGUCGGGGAAGAAAAUGACUGUACCCGAAUAAGAAGGUCCGGCUAACUUCGUGCCAGCAGCCGCGGUAAUACGAAGGGACCUAGCGUAGUUCGGAAUUACUGGGCUUAAAGAGUUCGUAGGUGGUUAAAAUAGUUGGUGGUGAAAUCCCAGAGCUUAACUCUGGAACUGCCAUCAAAACUUUUUAGCUAGAGUAUGAUAGAGGAAAGCAGAAUUUCUAGUGUAGAGGUGAAAUUCGUAGAUAUUAGAAAGAAUACCAAUUGCGAAGGCAGCUUUCUGGAUCAUUACUGACACUGAGGAACGAAAGCAUGGGUAGCGAAGAGGAUUAGAUACCCUCGUAGUCCAUGCCGUAAACGAUGUGUGUUAGACGUUGGAAAUUUAUUUUCAGUGUCGCAGCGAAAGCAUUAAACACACCGCCU